GGCCUGUGUGGAGGUAAUACCUCCGACUGAACCUUGUUAAAUACUUCUUUUAAGUCCAAAUACUGCGGUGGGAUUUCUGUGGUUAAGGGAGGUGCUAUAGGUACAUUGAUGGUACCGAUUCGUUUAGGCACCUGUUUUAAGCAAUAACCUCUGCAACUCUUUCCCCAACUCACAAUCUCUCCUUCAACCCAAUCUAGACAUGGAUUGUGUUUCUGGAGCCAAGGAAAACCGAGUAUUAUUGGACAUGUAGCUGAAGAUAUAAUUUGAAAAACCUACUGAGACAGUGAUUGGUAUAGUUUCGUGUGUGAUGAGAGGUUGAGUAAGAGGUCUCCCAUCGAUAGCCUCUACUGCUAUGGGUCUGUCUUUCUGCCUUAAAGGCAGAAGAUGUUUGGCAGAAAAUUCCUUAUCAAGGAAAUUCU